rnacentral:lncRNA from 1 species
UUCUCACUCGCUGAUUCUAGAUUCGACAUGUGUCCCAUAACAUAUCUUUUAUAUUUACGGAAAAGCACACUCGUAUUUUUGUCUACAUCUUUCUCGUAUAAACAGUAUAUGUGUUAGAUCAACACGGGAUAUAUUUUAUAUUAAUUAUAAAAUAAAAAGAUCCUUUAUCUUUUGCAUCAUUAUUUUAAUAAAAAAUACUAAACGCAGGAAAUAAUGAGAGAAUACCGAAAAAAACGACAACUUAUGCUGCCAUUUCAAGUGCUCUCUCACCAUUCCCCCACAUGACCCACACUUUUCCUUCUUCUUUUUUGCACUUCGGCACACGUAAACUCUACUCCACUUAUUCUUUUGUUCUCUCCCCACGCGAACUCCACUUUCCUUUUUACUCAUCUUUUUCCCCCACUUUCCCUUUUGCCAAAGUUGCUUCAACAAAGCAUCACCAGUUAAGGAGUCAGCCCGAAGAAGCUCUUCCCCAGUGUGUAUCCUGAAACAAACAACACUAUCAUCAACACAAUAAACAAAAGAAAAGGCGAAAGUAACUGUUUGAAAUAUGAAGUUUGCAGAACAAAGGAGGUUUAGAGUCAAAUCUGUAACUUCGACUAAUUCCUCUCAUUCCUCUCCCCCUCUCGCUCUGUUUUUCCUCUCACUCCAGCAGCAGCUUUACCAAUUCUCCGUCUCCCCUCUCGCUCCAGCUGCAGCUUCGUCUCCAUCUCCCCUCUCGCUCCUACACCUCUCGCUCGCUACUCAUCUCCCUCGUGCGCUACUACUCCAGAUCUACUCGGUGGUCGCUGCUCUCAGUGGUCGGCUGUCGCUGCUCGGUGGUGCUGCUUGCUGGUCCUCGUCUCCCUCAUCUCUCUCCAUCUCACUCUCUCCGUUUGGUUUGUAAUUAUUUUUUGAUAAUUAAUUUUUUAUAAUUGUUGGUAAUUUUAUCUGGCAAUUAUUUUGUUCAGUGAUUAUUUUAUUGGGAAUUAUUUUGGUAAUUGUAUUGUUGAUAAUUAUUUUAAUAAUUAAUUUAUGAUAAUUGUUGGUAAUCUUGUUUGGUAAUUAUUUUGUUGAGUGAUUAUUUUGUUGGGAAUUAUUUUAGUAAUUGUAUUGUUGAUAAUUAUUUUUUGAUAAUUACUUUUUGAUAAUUAUUUUUGGAUAA